AUUCAAGCAAAUUUGUUUAAAUUAAAAGUUUAAAUCUAAAAUACAUAUAAAUCUAAACUAAAAACCUACUGCUAUGCCAAUAAUUUUUACCUACUUUUCUAAGCAUCUUUUGCUUAAAAUAUUUAUAUUCUGGUUAUAAUCCAGUAUUAUUUUUCAGAAGUUACAGAGGACUUAUUUCAUUUCAGUGUGAGUUAGUAGCUUUAGGACUUCAGUUAGUCCUAAAAAUAUUUAAGUUCUGUGAAUCCACAGUGCAAAAUGGGAUACAGAAUCUCCCAUUGCAAUGGUAAGCAGCUUGGGAAGCAGUCCUCACUAAGUGGACAAACGGAGAGUGCCUAAGCUUAUCAGAGUUGAAUGGAAGAGGAAAAAGCACCUAAUUAGAGGUACUUGAAGGUCUAUGUGUGCUUUUCAAGCACAAACUGUCUUCCACAACUGAAGGUCUAAGAACUUCCCUUUCUAUUAAAAAAAAGAAAGAAGCCAAAAAAGAGAAAGAAAAGCUACAGAUACUAUGGUUGACUUCAGCAAGAGCCAACAGCAGAAGUGUCAGAGGCCUGAUGAGGACACAGGAGAUGCAGGUAGGAUUCAUCUGACUAAACAUGGAAGUCUCCCAUGUCUGAGCCAACCUCAGUCCCAUGCUCAGUCAACAUAAUCAGUUAAGUAAAUGUUUUAACACUUGGUCAGGAGGAUCACACACCAGAUACAGUGGCUUAAUUCUUUCUACCUCCUUUAAAACAAAAUAGGACCUUAGUACACUCAUGUAGGCAAAGAUAAUUCCUACACCACAAAUUGGGAAUUGAAGUCACAUAAAUUAGGGGCCAUAUCUGCUCUGUUCAUCUAGGAUGAAGACCAUGAAUUCACAUGUCCCUCACCUCCAAAAUAGCUCCUGUAACCCCUACAAGGGAAAUGGCAGGUUCACCUGCUAAAGCUGUUUUGUGUCCCUUGAGCAAUGGAAUCAAUCACUUAGACCAGAGAAAGAGAGUCAGACCCCAUUUGCUACUGAAGGCUAUCUAAGGAGACAAUGACAGUCAUGUUUGACUUCUUCUGCAUCACAAAAGGUGAGGGAUUUAUUCCAGACAGAGGAGCUCCAACCAACAGGAUCUACUGGCUGUGCUGGGUCUAGAAAUAGAAGGAAAUAUUCCAAGGGGCCAUUAGAAUCUGGAUAUCUCAGAGUAUGCAGGGGAGGCUGGGCUUUGCAAAUGCCAGAUUCUCAGCAGUAUCACCCCCACCACCAUCCCUCAAACCUCACAGGCUGGCCGCCUUCCAGACCUUACUGACUGCUACAACCACCAAACCUCUGCAGGGUAAGGUCCCUCUGGGCUCAGCUCCCAAACACAAGCUCUGAGAACAGCAUGGGCUGGAAUCCAGACACGAUGUCCUCACUCCUGGAGAGUGAGAUGUGCAUGUGCAUCCCCCCCAGAGCACACCCUGCUCCUCUGGGACCCACAGAACCGAGGCCUUAAUAACUCCCUGUGAUGGCAGGUGAGGCAAGCAAAUCUGCACAGCUCCAUAGCAGAAGACAUGAAAGUAAAGCAGUCAGAUAUGCAGGAUGACUCAGCACAUACAGAAUUAUUAUCCAGAAGCAUUUUUUUGUUUAGAAUCUCAGCAGUACCUAUUUUGUGUGGGUGCAAAAUGAAAGGUGAAGAGAAAGAAGAAAAGCAAAAUAACUGAAGAAAACUGCCACAACUGUAUUUGUUAAGAUUCUGUAUUAGAAAAGGGUCUCAGAACCUUUAGUGUCACAAAUGAAAUGAUGAAAUACACAUAUUAGAAAGGGAGAAGAGUGCGACAAACUGUACAGGAAACAAAUGUUGCCUACAGUUGGAUCUGAAUGUCAGGAUGGUUAUAAUGGCUGCUAUCAGGUAUGAGAUAGAAGUGAAGCAUUCAAAGCAUGUGCUUAUAUCUGAGAAAGAUGCUUCCCUUUUUAUUGACAAGGUGAUGUUUUAAAAAACAGAUCAAAAGCCUUCCAAAAGCACAAGUAGUUGACCACUGUGUAUCUACUCUUUGCCAAAUAUAAAAUGGCUUAAAGAUACAAUGCUCAAGUUAAAGCCCUCCUAAUGUGGCUUAAAUUACUCAGGGAACCUGGGCUUUUGCUCUUCCUCUUUUCACUUGCAACCUCCUCUGUACCAGUCAGAGAAUCUGUGCUCUACACUUACCAAUAAACUUCGUCAGAUCAAGAGAUUCUUUGCUAUUAAUUCAAGUAAUUUAAGGGAAGAACUAAUGGUCAGUCAUAGGCAAGAUGUUCCAUCAUUUGGUAUCAACUCAAUUCACUUGGUCAAUCUUCAGAACCUCUUUUGGUUCUAUCAUCAAUUAUUUAAAGUACACUGAACCUGGUGUAUCUCAUUUACUAAUUUCAGCAUUCUUAUGCAUGCCAGCCACAUAUUAAGUAACUGAAUAUUCCUAGGAAUGGAAGCAUGGAUUUCCCAAUUUCACUACUCAAGUAUGGUUAUCACUGGUUACAGGAUGGGAACAUGGUGUUCACUGAUUAAAUACUGCAUUUCUAACCGGGUUAAAUGUUCUCUGACAUACCCUUGUUCUAAAUUAUCCCUCCCCCAAGAAAAGGGGAAGUCUUGGAAUGUGGGUUAUGAGGUGCUGUUAAAUAAGUUACAGCAAAAAGACAGACACCAGUCUUCUCAUUGCUCUUACCUUUGUGGGAUGGAAUGAAGAAUGCAAAUUUGUUUUAAGGAUCAGACAAGGCACUUUGCUGUCCAAAUACAAGUUUUCCAUUAGUUUUGUUUUGGGUUUUUUUUUCAAACAACCAAAGAGUGUGACUUUUUAGAAUACACACUACACCACCAUCAGCAUUUUAAGAAGUGUUUCAAUGUAAUAGGUAGAUGUCCUAGCCAGUAGUUAAAAAAAUUCAUGAGUUUCUUUGUGUGCCAUAGGAAUUGUUCAAGUUAGCACAUUUUGUAACUAGGUUUUUGUAUUCUGUACUGCUGGUCCUGAACAACAGGGACAACAGACCUAUUAUUUUCCAACUGCUCACAGAAAUUUGGUACAGAGAAUAAAGAAAAGUCAUGCAAAUACCAAAUACAAUGUUCUCGGAUAAAUGUGCCAGUAAAACAUGUCUUUAUAAUGUUUUACCAAUCUUUCCCGGAUAAAACAAAGUUCUAUCAUUGCAAAAUGAUGCAAUCAGAAGGAAGUUCUUGACAGUGAAAUAAAUUUCCAGAAUUACCUUUAAGACAAUCCUCUCACACAACUUACACACCAACUCAUGUUUUUCAAAUGAAGUGCACACACACACACACAUCAGAGUCAGACAUUGCUAUUCCCACAGUCAGACUGAAAUGAGGGAAAAAGUUGACAAAAGACUUCUAAAAUAAUACAUACAGAUGUCAGGAAUAUAACCUUAAUCAAAACAUUUAUGUUUUGUUUUUAAAAUAACCAAAGAGACUGCCUUUAGAAUAUAGACAGAUAUGGAAGUAAAGUAGCAAUAUGUAUUAAUUUAUCAGCUGAUUUUAUACUAAUGGAUUAACUAGUCACUACCCUUGCUUUUAGAGGGGACUCCCAGAAAUAAGUUCCUGGACAUUUAGUGUCCUGGGAAUCUAAUCCUCACACACUAGACAAUUAAAAAGAAUAAAAAUCCCCCAAACUUCAGGAAAAGCAUUAUGUUUUAACAGCUAGACAUUGUUAACAGCUCAAAUAUAUUUUGCAGCUAACACUUGCAUUUCUUCUCUGAUCUGUUUGGCUUAUUUAAGUUCUAGUUUUAAUAUUUCCCGUUCUCCAGGGUGAUUUUCCUUGCCUCCUUUUUGAUCACUAUCAGCUCCAACACUGACUAAAAAAGGACCUGCACCUAUUGAAUCCUCACAACCAAGUAAGGGCAAUAUAUUCUGCUCCACCUGUCUCUCCUAAGAUUUCUAAUAGUUCUAAAGCCUUCAAAGAAUAAUCUGGUCAGACUGGGACAUCCUAUCCCAAGGCUGAUUUAUGCUGACUUAAUAAAUUCACCGGGAAAAAGUAGGAAACACAUAUUGAGUACAAAAUUACUUACUUUGCCUUGUACUUAGCUAUUUACUAAAUAACAUUUUUAGUUAAAUAGUGAUUAUUAAAAUAUACUUUUUUUUCCCCAAUGUACCUUCAUUUUUAUGAACUUAAGUGGCCAAGAAAGGGCAGGGAAAAAAAUUGUGCCUUGCAACUACUUAACUACAGAUCUGGCUGAUGCACUAUUAAAGGACAAAAAAAAGUUUAGCAACACAGGGUUACAGAAUCACUGGGAGGUAAAAGGGACCUUUUGAAGCCACCCAGCCCAGUUCCCCACUCAAACAAGUCUAGCUGGACCAGGCUGUCCAGGACCAUAUCCAGUUGAGUUUUGACUAUAUCCAUGGAUGGAGAUUCCACAGCAUCUCCAGGCAACGUGUGCCGCUGUCUGACCACAGACAAAAAAAAAAGUGUUUUCUUGUGUCCAGAUGGAAUUUCAUGUUUUUCAAUUUGUGCUCAUUGCCUAUUGUGCAACAAAUGUAGGUGCUCUGUGUGGUGGAAGCCUCUGAGAUUUUCCCAUUCAUCUGAACAGAAUAAAGUUUUAAUGCCCAAAUUCCCAGUGAUGACCCUUUUUGAAACAUAACCCAUAGCAAUUCAAUGACACUGAAAUUCAAAAUAUUGCUAUUUUAGCCAUAUUUAGUAAUAAAUGACCAAAUGUUUUAUUAGCAGUGAAAUAACAAAACCCUUUUUGCAUAGUCCUCUGCUACCUGUAAUGUUGUUUAUUGUACCAAGAUGGGAAUGACAGAGAGCCAGUCCUUACCAGGUUUGGGAGCUGACCCUAACUGGGGCUCACCUAGGGCUCCUUUUGUUCAAUGGUGUUUACACCUCUAUUCUGCAGGAUCCUGAAGGUGCUAAAAGGUCUGGGACAACCUUAAUGUUUUCUUCUUAGGUCUUAACAAUUUCAAGUGAAACUUCAGCAAUUCCGUGGGCUCUAAGAAACAGCUCCAACAGCAAGCAUUCAGUAAACCGUCCCAAAUGUGCCUGUAGCACUAAAAGCAAGAAGACCAGAACUUUACAGAAAUGCUGAACAUUUGAUCAGACGCCCUUCUCAAAUUCUGAUGCUCACAGAGAUUUAAAUACAUGUCUGUGUUAAACAUGCAAGACUUUUAAAAGUUAUUGACACAACUUCUGCUAAAGAUUCUCUUCUUUAUCCAUGUCUUUGAAAGAGGCAUAUUUUGAAUCCUUUUACCAAGUGUUCUAAUGGAAGUCAGAGAAGAAGAUGAGAAAGACUGCUAAAGGAAGCAAAACAAUUCCCACGGUUCUCAACAGGAUGUGGACAUGAACUACAGGAAUUCAGGAGGGAUCUUCCUAGAAAGACUUCACAAGAAUGUCAUGGGGAAGAGACUGAAUCUACCUGAAGCCACGGAAUGAGACAGCAAUGGAAGAAAAUCAAAUUAACCCUUGUGGCCAACGCUGAGGAAGAAGAAUCCCAGCUGUCCCCUGGUGUCCAUGUCUGACAUGUCCCUCACAGCUCCCACACUAUGACAGGAUUUUGAACAGCUUUUCACUAAAAAAGUGUGGCUCCACAGAAAGAAGCCAACUACUGUAUUUACUAUCAGCAUUAGUGGUAUCACAGGUGGCACAACACAGUAUGUAUGUAGACACCUGUAAAUAUACCAGUCAUUUAGAAAGUGCAAUUAAGGAAAUGAAAGGAGUUAU